ACCAGAAAACCUGUUUAUUGCACCAAAGAUCUUACACACAUUGGUUCUUGACUUCCAAGGUGAUUUCUUCUCUAAGAAGAAACCAAAGCAGAGGAAAGUUGUGCGGACUAGAAGAACUGCCAGGUGGACAGCACAUUUUUCACUCAUCUCUUCCUAACUCUCAAACGGCUGUUACCACUGAGAGGAACAUCUUGGCAAGACCAAGGAAAACCUGCUGUGAGGGGAAAAAAAAUUGCCUGGCAUGCAACACCACUGACCAGGAGACUGAAGUUAUUGUAAAGAGAUGGCUUCAGUUUGCCCCUGAAAGUGAUUGAGGAAGGAGGAAGCAGUUGAGGAGAAAAGAAGAGCUGGACACUUUUAAUUGUUUAGGACAAUUCUGACUUGACUCUCUUUCUCACACACACACACACAUACACACACACACACACAGAAACAAAUGCAGCUAUUAGGGUGGGCAAUAAA